AUUGAACGCUGGCGGCAUGCCUUACACAUGCAAGUCGAGCGGCAGCACGGGAGCAAUCCUGGUGGCGAGUGGCGAACGGGUGAGUAAAGUAUCGGAACGUGCCCAGUCGUGGGGGAUAACGUAGCGAAAGUUACGCUAAUACCGCAUACGAUCUAUGGAUGAAAGCGGGGGAUCGCAAGACCUCGCGCGAUUGGAGCGGCCGAUAUCAGAUUAGGUAGUUGGUGGGGUAAAGGCUCACCAAGCCGACGAUCUGUAGCUGGUCUGAGAGGACGACCAGCCACACUGGGACUGAGACACGGCCCAGACUCCUACGGGAGGCAGCGGUGGGGAAUUUUGGACAAUGGGCGCAAGCCUGAUCCAGCCAUGCCGCGUGCAGGAUGAAGGCCUUCGGGUUGUAAACUGCUUUUGUACGGAACGAAAAGGUUUGGCCUAAUAAGCUGAGCUCAUGACGGUACCGUAAGAAUAAGCACCGGCUAACUACGUGCCAGCAGCCGCGGUAAAAC
rnacentral:rRNA from 1 species